UUGCAUGCUGGGGACUCUUGUUCUGCUCCUCAUUCUUUUGAGAAUAAAAUUGUCUGUGGCAUGCUGUGUAAAAUAAAGGCAUUUUCAGAGCUGCUAACCAUGUAGUUAAGAUUAUAUGAUACUCUGUUUCUCCUACCAAA
ensembl:snoRNA